UACGUAGGGGGCAAGCGUUGUCCGGAUUUAUUGGGCGUAAAGAGCGUGUAGGCGGCCAGGUAGGUCUGCUGUGAAAACUCGAGGCUCAACCUCGAGACGUCGGCGGAAACCAUCUGGCUAGAGUCCGGAAGAGGAGAGUGGAAUUCCUGGUGUAGAGGUGAAAUUCGUAGAUAUCGGGAGGAACACCGGUGGCGAAGGCGGCGACCUGGGUCGAGACUGACGCUGAGGCGCGAAAGCGUGGGGAGCAAACAGG
rnacentral:rRNA from 1 species